UACGAAGGGGGCUAGCGUUGCUCGGAAUCACUGGGCGUAAAGGGUGCGUAGGCGGGUCUUUAAGUCAGGGGUGAAAUCCUGGAGCUCAACUCCAGAACUGCCUUUGAUACUGAAGAUCUUGAGUUCGGGAGAGGUGAGUGGAAACUGCGAGUGUAGAGGUGAAAUUCGUAGAUAUUCGCAAGAACACCAGUGGCGAAGGCGGCUCACUGGCCCGAUACUGACGCUGAGGCACGAAAGCGUGGG
rnacentral:rRNA from 1 species